rnacentral:rRNA from 1 species
UACAGAGGUGGCAAGCGUUGUUCGGAUUCAUUGGGUGUAAAGGGUGCGUAGGCGGUUAGGAAAGUCGGAUGUGAAAGCCUAGAGCUCAACUCUAGAAUUGCAUCUGAAACUUCCUGACUUGAGUGCGAGAGAGGUGAAGGGAAUUCCCGGUGUAAGGGUGAAAUCUGCAGAGAUCGGGAGGAACACCAGCAGCGAGGGCGCUUCACUGGCUCGUAACUGACGCUGAGUGCACGAAGGCGUGGGGAGCAAACGGG